CCUACGGGGGGCUGCAGUGGGGAAUAUUGGACAAUGGGGGCAACCCUGAUCCAGCCAUGCCGCGUGUGUGAAGAAGGCCCUCGGGUUGUAAAGCACUUUCAGUGAGGAAGAACGCCUGGUGGUUAAUACCCAGCAGGAAAGACAUCACUCACAGAAGAAGCACCGGCUAACUCCGUGCCAGCAGCCGCGGUAAUACGGAGGGUGCGAGCGUUAAUCGGAAUUACUGGGCGUAAAGCGCGCGUAGGUGGCUUGAUAAGCCGGUUGUGAAAGCCCCGGGCUCAACCUGGGAACGGCAUCCGGAACUGUCAAGCUAGAGUGCAGGAGAGGAAGGUAGAAUUCCCGGUGUAGCGGUGAAAUGCGUAGAGAUCGGGAGGAAUACCAGUGGCGAAGGCGGCCUUCUGGACUGACACUGACACUGAGGUGCGAAAGCGUGGGUAGCAAACAGGAUUAGAUACCCUAGUAGUC
rnacentral:rRNA from 1 species